UACACUCCUACGGGAGGCAGCAGUGGGGAAUUUUGGACAAUGGGGGCAACCCUGAUCCAGCAAUGCCGCGUGAGUGAAGAAGGCCUUCGGGUUGUAAAGCUCUUUUGUCAGGGAAGAAACGGUAGUAGCGAAUAACUAUUACUAAUGACGGUACCUGAAGAAUAAGCACCGGCUAACUACGUGCCAGCAGCCGCGGUAAUACGUAGGGUGCAAGCGUUAAUCGGAAUUACUGGGCGUAAAGCGUGCGCAGGCGGUUGUGUAAGUCAGAUGUGAAAUCCCCGGGCUCAACCUGGGAAUUGCAUUUGAGACUGCACGGCUAGAGUGUGUCAGAGGGGGGUAGAAUUCCACGUGUAGCAGUGAAAUGCGUAGAUAUGUGGAGGAAUACCGAUGGCGAAGGCAGCCCCCUGGGAUAACACUGACGCUCAUGCACGAAAGCGUGGGGAGCAAACAGGAUUAGAAACCCGGGUAGUCCC
rnacentral:rRNA from 1 species